AGUUUGUUUGAGAUAUGUGCUACUGACGAGACACAGAAGAAAGAAAACCCAGCAUCAGGUCCACUAUAACCCAGUUCCAUGUUGCCAAGUUGUCCUCAGGAAAUCAACAGUUAUUUCACGUUCUCUGAUCCAAAAGGUUUUGGAGCCAGAGCAUCAAGAUCCUCUCUUCUUUUGCUCAUUAAGUACAUGCCUCCUGCCAAUUUCUAAUCAAGAAAACCCAAAAUGAGGAAUAUGUUUCUGAGGAUGAAUUGAACCCCUUUGCUCCUGUGUUCCACCUAGCCUUGACUCACCAUCAGACCCCUAAGGUCAGGAUCCGGUUU